UAAUACGAAGGGGGCUAGCGUUGUUCGGAAUUACUGGGCGUAAAGCGCGUGUAGGCGGGUCCUUAAGUCAGGGGUGAAAUGCCAAGGCUCAACCUUGGAACUGCCUUUGAUACUGGGGAUCUUGAGUCCGGGAGAGGUGAGUGGAACUGCGAGUGUAGAGGUGAAAUUCGUAGAUAUUCGCAAGAACACCAGUGGCGAAGGCGGCUCACUGGCCCGGUACUGACGCUGAGAUGCGAAAGCGUGGGGAGCAAACAGGAUUAGAUACCCUGGUAGUCCACGCUGUAAACGAUGGAUGCUAGCCGUUAGGCAGCUUGCUGCUUAGUGGCGCAGUCAACACUUUAAGCAUCCCGCCUGGGGAGUACGGUCGCAAGAUUA
rnacentral:rRNA from 1 species